rnacentral:rRNA from 1 species
UACGUAGGGUGCAAGCGUUGUCCGGAAUUACUGGGCGUAAAGAGCUCGUAGGUGGUUUGUCGCGUUGUUCGUGAAAACUCACAGCUCAACUGUGGGCGUGCGGGCGAUACGGGCAGACUUGAGUACUGCAGGGGAGACUGGAAUUCCUGGUGUAGCGGUGGAAUGCGCAGAUAUCAGGAGGAACACCGGUGGCGAAGGCGGGUCUCUGGG